GUUAUAUGGUCAAGUGAAGAAGCGCAUACGGUGGAUGCCUUGGCAGUCAGAGGCGAUGAAAGACGUGGUAGCCUGCGAUAAGCUUCGGGGAGUCGGCAAACAGACUUUGAUCCGGAGAUCUCUGAAUGGGGAACCCACUCAGCAUAAGCUGAGUAUCUUGUACUGAAUACAUAGGUGCAAGAGGCGAACCAGGGGAACUGAAACAUCUAAGUACCCUGAGGAAAAGAAAUCAACCGAGAUUCCCUUAGUAGUGGCGAGCGAACGGGGACUAGCCCUUAAGUGGCUUUGAGAUUAGCGGAACGCUCUGGAAAGUGCGGCCAUAGUGGGUGAUAGCCCUGUACGCGAAAAUCUCUUAGUCAUGAAAUCGAGUAGGACGGAGCACGAGAAACUUUGUCUGAAUAUGGGGGACCAUCCUCCAAGGCUAAAUACUACUGACUGACCGAUAGUGAACCAGUACCGUGAGGGAAAAGGCGAAAAGAACCCCGGAGAGGGGGUGAAAUAGAUCCUGAAACCGUAUGCGUACAAGCAGUGGGAGCCUACUUUGUUAGGUGACUGCGUACCUUUUGUAUAAUGGGUCAGCGACUUAUAUUCAGUGGCGAGCUUAACCGAAUAGGGAGGCGUAGCGAAAGCGAGUCUUAAUAGGGCGUUUAGUCGCUGGGUAUAGACCCGAAACCGGGCGAUCUAUCCAUGGGCAGGUUGAAGGUUAGGUAACACUGACUGGAGGACCGAACCGACUACCGUUGAAAAGUUAGCGGAUGACCUGUGGAUCGGAGUGAAAGGCUAAUCAAGCUCGGAGAUAGCUGGUUCUCCUCGAAAGCUAUUUAGGUAGCGCCUCAUGUAUCACUGUAGGGGUAGAGCACUGUUUCGGCUAGGGGGUCAUCCCGACUUACCAAACCGAUGCAAACUCCGAAUACCUACAAGUGCCGAGCAUGGGAGACACACGGCGGGUGCUAACGUCCGUCGUGAAAAGGGAAACAACCCAGACCGUCAGCUAAGGUCCCAAAGUUAUGGUUAAGUGGGAAACGAUGUGGGAAGGCUUAGACAGCUAGGAGGUUGGCUUAGAAGCAGCCACCCUUUAAAGAAAGCGUAAUAGCUCACUAGUCGAGUCGGCCUGCGCGGAAGAUGUAACGGGGCUCAAACCAUACACCGAAGCUACGGGUAUCACUUAGGUGAUGCGGUAGAGGAGCGUUCUGUAAGCCUGUGAAGGUGAGUUGAGAAGCUUGCUGGAGGUAUCAGAAGUGCGAAUGCUGACAUGAGUAACGACAAUGGGAGUGAAAAACUCCCACGCCGAAAGACCAAGGUUUCCUGCGCAACGUUAAUCGACGCAGGGUUAGUCGGUCCCUAAGGCGAGGCUGAAAAGCGUAGUCGAUGGAAAACAGGUUAAUAUUCCUGUACUUCUGGUUAUUGCGAUGGAGGGACGGAGAAGGCUAGGCCAGCUUGGCGUUGGUUGUCCAAGUUUAAGGUGGUAGGCUGAGAUCUUAGGUAAAUCCGGGAUCUUAAGGCCGAGAGCUGAUGACGAGUUGCCAUUAGGCGACGAAGUGGUUGAUGCCAUGCUCCCAAGAAAAGCUUCUAAGCUUCAGAUAACCAGGAACCGUACCCCAAACCGACACAGGUGGUUGGGUAGAGAAUACCAAGGCGCUUGAGAGAACUCGGGUGAAGGAACUAGGCAAAAUGGCACCGUAACUUCGGGAGAAGGUGCGCCGGUGAGGGUGAAGGACUUGCUCCGUAAGCCCAUGCCGGUCGAAGAUACCAGGCCGCUGCGACUGUUUAUUAAAAACACAGCACUCUGCAAACACGAAAGUGGACGUAUAGGGUGUGACGCCUGCCCGGUGCCGGAAGGUUAAUUGAUGGGGUUAGCUAACGCGAAGCUCUUGAUCGAAGCCCCGGUAAACGGCGGCCGUAACUAUAACGGUCCUAAGGUAGCGAAAUUCCUUGUCGGGUAAGUUCCGACCUGCACGAAUGGCGUAACGAUGGCGGCGCUGUCUCCACCCGAGACUCAGUGAAAUUGAAAUCGCUGUGAAGAUGCAGUGUAUCCGCGGCUAGACGGAAAGACCCCGUGAACCUUUACUAUAGCUUUGCACUGGACUUUGAAUUUGCUUGUGUAGGAUAGGUGGGAGGCUUUGAAGCGUGGACGCCAGUUCGCGUGGAGCCAUCCUUGAAAUACCACCCUGGCAACUUUGAGGUUCUAACUCAGGUCCGUUAUCCGGAUCGAGGACAGUGUAUGGUGGGUAGUUUGACUGGGGCGGUCUCCUCCUAAAAAGAGUAACGGAGGAGUACGAAGGUGCGCUCAGACCGGUCGGAAAUCGGUCGUAGAGUAUAAAGGCAAAAGCGCGCUUGACUGCGAGACAGACACGUCGAGCAGGUACGAAAGUAGGUCUUAGUGAUCCGGUGGUUCUGUAUGGAAGGGCCAUCGCUCAACGGAUAAAAAGGUACUCCGGGGAUAACAGGCUGAUACCGCCCAAGAGUUCAUAUCGACGGCGGUGUUUGGCACCUCGAUGUCGGCUCAUCACAUCCUGGGGCUGAAGCCGGUCCCAAGGGUAUGGCUGUUCGCCAUUUAAAGUGGUACGCGAGCUGGGUUUAGAACGUCGUGAGACAGUUCGGUCCCUAUCUGCCGUGGACGUUUGAGAUUUGAGAGGGCUGCUCCUAGUACGAGAGGACCGGAGUGGACGAACCUCUGGUGUUCCGGUUGUCACGCCAGUGGCAUUGCCGGGUAGCUAUGUUCGGAAGAGAUAACCGCUGAAAGCAUCUAAGCGGGAAACUUGCCUCAAGAUGAGAUCUCACUGGAGCCUUGAGCUCCUGAAGGGCCGUCGAAGACUACGACGUUGAUAGGUUGGGUGUGUAAGCGCUGUGAGGCGUUGAGCUAACCAAUACUAAUUGCCCGUGAGGCUUGACCAUAUAACACCCAAGCAAUU
rnacentral:rRNA from 1 species